CCUACGGGUGGCUGCAGUGAGGAAUAUUGGUCAAUGGACGCAAGUCUGAACCAGCCAAGCCGCGUGCAGGAAGACGGCCCUACGGGUUGUAAACUUCUUUUGUAAGGGAGUAAACGCAGGCACGUGUAUCUGUCUGAAAGUAUCUUACGAAUAAGGAUCGGCUAACUCCGUGCCAGCAGCCGCGGUAAUACGGAGGAUCCGAGCGUUAUCCGGAUUUAUUGGGUUUAAAGGGUGCGUAGACGGUCGGUUAAGUUAGUCGUGAAAGUCUGAGGCUCAACCUUGGAAUUGCAAUUGAUACUGUUAGGCUUGAGAACAGUUGAGGUAGGCGGAAUGCAUGGUGUAGUGGUGAAAUGCUUAGAGAUCACACAGAACACCGAUUGCGAAGGCAGCUUACUAAGCUGCCUCUGACAUUGAUGCACGAAAGUGUGGGUAUCAAACAGGAUUAGAUACCCUUGUAGUC
rnacentral:rRNA from 1 species